rnacentral:rRNA from 1 species
AAUCAGUGAGGCGAACGGAGGGAACUGAAACAUCUUAGUACCUCCAGGAAGAGAAAAUAAAUGAAUGAUUCCCCCAGUAGUGGCGAGCGAACGGGGAAGAGCCCAAACCGUCGCCGUAGCAAUGCGGCGCCGGGGUUGUAGGACCGUGUCAUUGUACCUGGAAUGUGAGUGGAACGUUAAUGGAAAUUGCGGCCACAGCGGGUGAGAGCCCCUUACACGAAGCAUUCCCGGGCAUAACGGUAUCCUGAGUAACGCGGAGCACGAGAAAUUCUGCGCGAAUCUGCCGGGACCAUCCGGUAAGGCUAAAUACUCCCAUGAGACCGAUAGUGAACCAGUACCGUGAGGGAAAGGUGAAAAGCACCUCGACGAGAGGAGUGAAACAGAUCCUGAAACCAUGCGCCUACAAGCGGUCGGAGCUGCCUUUGGCAGUGACGGCGUGCCUUUUGCAUAAUGAACCUACGAGUUACCAUCUCUGGCGAGGUUAAGUGGCAUGAUCCACGCAACCGCAGUGAAAGCGAGGCUGAACAGGCCGUCUAGUCAGAGGGGGUAGACGCGAAACCAAGUGAUCUACACAUGUCCAGGGUGAAGUUCCGGUAACACGGAAUGUGACAGCUAGGAUGUUGGCUUGGAAGCAGCCAUUCAUUCAAAGAGUGCGUAACAGCUCACUAGUCGAGGGUCCGGGCGUGGAUAAUAAUCGGGUAUAAGGCAGGCACCGAAGGUGCGGGAUAGUAAUGUACAUUAAAAGUAUCGGUAGGGGAGCAUUCCAUGUGCGUCGAAUGUCGGGGGACGACCCCGGCUGGAGCGCAUGGAAAAGCAAAUGUAGGUAUAAGUAACGAUAAGGAGGGUGAGAUUCCCUCCCGCCGCAAGACCAAGGUUUCCCGGGCAAUGCCAAUCAGCCCGGGGUCAGUCGGGUCCUAAGCCUCAGCCGAACGGCGAGGGCGAUGGCAGACACGGUUAAUAUUCCGUGACUGCUGCAUGAUGCGAUUGCGGAGACGGAGAAGUGACACCGCCGCGGGCUGACGGAAUAGCCCGUUGAAGAGAUUAGGCGCUGAUCAUGGCAGGCAAAUCCACCAUGAGAGCUGAAUCUUGAAAGUAUGCUCAUCCCCUCGGGGAAGGGCAAUAGUGCGGGUAAUCAUGCUCCCGAGAAAAUCCGCUAAGCUCCAGUCAUGCAGCACCCGUACCGCAAACGGACACACGUAGUCGGGUUGAACAUACUAAGGCGUUGAGAGAUUCAUGGUUAAGGAACUAGGCAAAUUAACCCCGUAACUUCGGGAAAAGGGGUCCUCGUCAUUUUGACGAGGCGCAGAGAAUAGGUCCAGGCAACUGUUUAACAAAAACACAGGGCUGUGCUAACACGAAAGUUGAUGUAUACAGUCUGACACCUGCCCGGUGCCGGAAGGUUAAGAGGAGAGGUCAUACGUAAGUAGAAGCCUUGAAUUGAAGCCCCGGUAAACGGCGGCCGUAACUAUAACGGUCCUAAGGUAGCGAAAUUCCUUGUCGGGUAAGUUCCGACCUGCACGAAUG